rnacentral:rRNA from 1 species
UACAGAGGGUGCAAGCGUUGUUCGGAAUUACUGGGCGUAAAGCGUGCGUAGUCGGUAUUGAGAGUCGCGGGUGAAAUCCCAGGGCUUAACCCUGGAACUGCCUGCGAGACCUCAGUACUAGAGUGUGAGAGGGGAUAGUGGAAUACCAAGUGUAGCGGUGAAAUGCGUAGAGAUUUGGUGGAACACCGGUGGCGAAGGCGGCUAUCUGGCUCACAACUGACGAUCAGGCACGAAAGCGUGGGGGGCAAACAGG